GACGAACGCUGGCGGCGUGCCUAACACAUGCAAGUCGAGCGGGAACCUCGGGAGGGGUAACCCUCCUGAGGGGAGAGCGGCGAACGGGUGAGUAACACGUGGGCAACCUGCCCCGGACACCGGGAUAACCCGAGGGAAACCUGAGCUAAUACCGGAUACUCCGGCGUGAUCGCAUGGUCGUGCCGGGAAAGCUCCGACGGUCCGGGAU
rnacentral:rRNA from 1 species